UACGUAGGGUGCAAGCGUUAAUCUGAAUUACUGGGCGUAAAGCGUGCGCAGGCGGUUUUGUAAGUCUGUCGUGAAAGCCCCGGGCUCAACCUGGGAAUUGCGAUGGAGACUGCAAGGCUUGAAUCUGGCAGAGGGGGGUAGAAUUCCACGUGUAGCAGUGAAAUGCGUAGAGAUGUGGAGGAACACCGAUGGCGAAGGCAGCCCCCUGGGUCAAGAUUGACGCUCAUGCACGAAAGCGUGGGGAGCAAACAGG
rnacentral:rRNA from 1 species